UCCGCCGGCGUCACGGCGGCGGUCCGGCUGCCACCUGGCCCUGGCUACACAUGGGGCUGCGCCGCGCUGGGCUGAGAGAGCACGGCCUCAUGUCGCCCCGACGUCCGCCUGGGCGACUGGAGCUGGCCGCUCACUCCCCAGGCGGGCCAGGGCAAGAAAGGCUUUGCUUGGAGACCCGCUGCUCCGGAGCGCGACCCAGUCAGGCCCAGCGCAGGGCCGCUUGGGGGCGCGCACCAUGGAAGGGGCGUGGCCAGAACAGCUGUGGGCGUGGCCGGGCGUGCGCAGGCUCUCCAGCGGCUUCCCCGGGCCACCGAUUCAGCCACGUGUUCCGUGGUGGCUGGGAGCAGGUGCGCGGGCCGUCUGGGGCUGGCCUUGGCUCUGCGAGACAACCGGAUGAAACUCUCGAAAAGCGGCAGGGAUCUUUUGUAAGCGUUAGUCUGAAACCUGAACCUCUUCAGCUUGGCCAGUGGCAGAAAGAAGAGAGGGGUGGAUGCCUUUGGGCCCUGCCCCUGUGAACACAGAGCUUGAAAGUCCUGGCCAGUGCCAGAAGGUGAGAAACCGACCGAGGCAAGGAGUGGAAGCAAAAGGCAACGUGGAGGAUUGACACCUCCACCCUAAAUGUGGAGCUCCUAAAUGAAGCACUGAACGAAGCUCCUAAAUGAAGCUAAAGGGGCACCCUGAAUGAAGACGCUCCUGGCUCCUGGCUUUGGAUCUGCUCGGCUCCAGCCAUUGCGGCCAUUUGGAGAGUGAACCAGUGGAUGGAAGACCUCUCCUUCUGUGUCUCUAUCUCUGUAACUCUGUCUUUCAAUAAAUAAAAUAAAUCUUUAAAAAAGCUUUCUUGGGGCGGGCACUGUGGCAUAGUGGGUAAAGCCACUGUCUGCAGUGCCGGCAUCCCAUAUGGGCGCCAGUUUGUGUCCUGGCUGCUCCACUUCUGAUCAAGCUCUCUGCUAUGACCUGGGAAAGCAGUAGAAGAUGGCCCAAGUCCUUGGAUCCCUGCACCUGCAUGGGAGACCCGGAAGAAGCUCCUGGCUCCUGGCUUCGGAUCAGCACAGCUCUGGCCGUUGCAGCCAACUGGGGAGUGAACCAGCAGAUGGAAGACUUUCUCUCUCUCUCUCUCUCUCUGCCUCUCCUUCUGUCUCUGUGUAACUCUGACCUUCAAAUAAAUAAAGAAAUAUUAAAAAAAUAAAAAAGCUUUCUUAACAAUAAGUGUUUUUAUUGUUUCUCUUUUUCUGUCUUUGUACUUUUAACAGUUCUAAUUAACAUGUUUUUUCCUAGAUAAUAAUUAUUUUGAUUUUGCUUUUUGUCAUAUCUGUCUCUGCUUUUUAAUUAGAAAGUUUAGACCAAUUACAUUUAGUGUAAUUACUGGCGAGUUGAGUUGAAAUUUACCAAUUUUUCUGUUUGUUUUGUUUGUUCCAUCAGUUUUGGGUUUCUUACUUCUCUUUUCCUUUUUCUCCAUUGAGGAAAAAACAUUUGAUCUUCACUGUUGGGUCAUGGUUUCUCAUCUGCAUGGGACAGGCAGUUUUGGAUUUUGUCCUGGAAAUUGUGAUGAAAUAUUGUGGAGACUCUGGAUUCUUUGUUUCUGCUGAAGAGCACUGAUUGCCUGCCACUCCCCCUUUCAUCAGGUAUAAUGAACAAAUACUGUAUAUAUUUGCAGUAUACAAAAUAAUGUUUUAGAAUAUGUAUACAUUGUAAAACGCACACUUAAGAUGAUUAAAUCAAGCUAACACAUUCAUCACCUCAUCUGUUAUGUCUGUGUGUGGGUGAGAAUUUUUACUUAGAUCACUUAGCAGUUUUUAAGCGUGAAGAAUAUUGAUUUUUGUUCAAUAAAGUUGUUUUCAACCCGUACACUGUCUCCUGCAGAGCACAGUGGUUGAAAUCUCAGCUGAGUGUUCUUUGCCUCAGCCUUGCUGUUAGGCGACUGUCUUACUUGUAUAUGGUUCUACAGUCAGCAAGAGCUUUGGGCAUUUGGUGCUCGGAUUGCGGGGCUCCCCUUCAAAGACCCCCCUUCCCCCACCUGUUUUUAACUUCUCCAGUCACUUACUUUGCGGCUGUAAUUCCCUGCACUUUAAGCCAGGGAGGUGGUCCUGUUGCAGGGAACGUGCCCAGUGCUGUUCACCAAGAGCUGACUGUCCACCGAGGCCUGAGUCGGGGUUAGACCUUGUGGUGUCUGGUCUACAGAAUCGGUCAUCUGCGCGUCCCUUGGCCAGGACCAGACAGAGCCUCCGAGGAAGGACCCUGGGUGACUGAGAAGGGUCCCCUGUGACUGUGAGCCUCUGGAACUCAGGAGGAGAAGAGCGUGCCUGGGACAACCUGGAGGCGACCUCGCCUAAGAGGGAAGCGCACCCCUCAGUUGUAAGCGCAGUAUGGAUAAUUCCCGAUUGUGUCUGGAGCCUGAACACAUCUCCCCCCUGCUGUCAAUGACGGAGAGACUUGGCGAUGGUAAAUGGGUUUCCAUCAGAGUGGGGGGCGGGGGGGGAGGCCCAGAAGGGUCCCAGGUCCCUGCAGCUGUGACGCCGGUGACCUGUGCUUUUGAUGAACUUCUGAGGCCUUGAUGGCAUGUCGUCCUGUGAAAACAGGGUGUGCCUCGAGGGGCCCAGGGUCAGGGACCCCUCCCUAAGCAGCCUCCCCCACCCAUACACACAGUGCUCCUAAGGUCACGGGCCCGCUGACUCACUGCUUCCCCAGCAGAGGCGCUUUGGGCCUGCAGGCAGAAUUGCAGGUGGUCAGGGAGGGGCAGCCCGGCAUUCCUGGGGCUCUCGCUCUCGGAUGGGGCAGAUCUGCGUCUCUGAGAGGCUGCACCUGACCAGCUUGCCUGGUCUGCUUUUCUUUCAGUGUAUAGGGUUUCAGUUUCUGCCGCUGUGUAGGAGAGGUGGGUUGGCCCCUGGGGAAUCUACAUCUGCCCAAGACUAGGUUAGCAGUGAGCUCCACACUCCCAGUGUCCCCAGUCUGUGGGAUAAAAAGACUUCCUUAUUAAUUCCAGCGAAAGUCUCAGAAUUGAGCCUCAUUGGUCUGUUGUGGGUCGUGUGACUGCCCUGGAACCAGUCCCAGAGGCCAGAGAGAUGCAGGCCUCUCAUUGGUCAGCCUUGGUCAUGACCACCCCAACCCCAAUUGCUGGGACAGAAAGGGGUUCCGGCGGGCAGGGGUGCGUGUGUUACCAAGAGAAGGCAGAGAGGAUGCUGGGUAGGAAAAAAUCAGCAGUAAGAAGCCUUUCUCCAAAGGAGAAAGGAGGCAGGUGCGCCCCGUGUCUGGUGCUGCUCUAAGCCCAUUGUUUGAGCUGCUGCUGCUGCUGCUGUUAUUUAUUUUUUUAAGAUUUAUUUAUUUAUUUGAAAGGCAGAGAGACAUAGAGAGAGGUCUUCCAUCUGCUGGUUCACUCCUCAGAUGACUGCGCUGGCCAGAGCUGCACCAAUCUGAAGCCAGGAGCCAGGAGCUUCCUCCAGGUCUCCCAUGUGGGUUCGGGGGCCCAAGGUCCUGGGCCAUCUUCUGCUGCUUUCCCAGGCCAUAGCAGAGAGCUGGAUUGGAAAUGGAGCAGCCGGGUCUUGAACUGGCGCCCAUAUGAGAUGCUGGCACACAGGCGGUGGCUUAACCCGCUACACCACAGCGCCAGCCCCACGUGGGCUUCUUUUAUCCUCACAACAACCUGUGAGGUUGGGGGCUGAGGGUCAGAGAGCCUAGUGCCUUGCAGGGUGGGCUGGCCCUGGCCUGGCUUCCAGCAUCUUCUCCUGAAAGCGAGUCCCCGGGCUGCCGCUGGUGACCUGUCCCUGCCCGCCUCCCACCCUGCCUUCAGUGCUGACACGGGGGAGACGGCUCGUGUUUCCAAAAAGAGGGAAAAUUGGCACUAGCCAUGAGCUGAGACGACUUGCUAAAAUAUUUCUUGUUUUCUCGAGUUUACAUAGACCAAGUUUUCACUGUUGCUAUGGGGUGGGCUGGCAGAGAGAUGAAAAUAAAUCUGUGUCAUUUCAGUUUUUCUGCGCGUCAACUCUGUUUCCGCUUGCUGUGCACACACGCACGCACACACACACAGACGGGCGCACACGUGCAAGCACAUAUAGGCUUUAAUAAAAUACUUACACCCCUUUAAUGCUCUCCGUGGAAGGAAUUAAUAUGUACUGUACUUUCAACUUCUGCUCUUUGAAAUACCAUAUGGUCCGCACUGCGCGCCUCCAGUACCCAUGCAGCAGAUAGCCAGGUGCAGGGGGCCCGCCACUCUCACAAGGUUAAUUAAGCCUUUAAAAUGGAGCGCAGAGGGGUCCCCGCGUCAGGAGCGCGGCCCGGUGGCCCGUGAGGGGUUGAGCAGUGAGUACAAAGGCGGCAGGCAAGGUGGGCUGGGCCGGCAGUGGCCUCCCUGCCCGGUGGCGCCUUUGAUGAGCGGGCUCAGUCACUCGGAUACACAGGGUUUGCAUAAUCAGGGCUCGCAGGCUGAUGGUGUGCAUGAAUAACUAAGUUUGUCAUUGUGCUUAAUUUUCCCUCCGAAAGAGCCCCCCUGCCCCAUGGCUCCGGCCCAGUGCAUGUUUAUAAAGGGCAGAGAAACAAGGCCAAGGAGAGCCAUGAGGUGGCUGCCGCAGGGAGGGGACGGAGGUGCCUGGACCCUGAAGCCUGGGGGACCAGGUUUGCGCCAGGGCUGGCCGCUGACGGAGGUGCAGGGCCCUUGGAGCUUGGAGGGGCAAGGGCCGGCCUAGUUUACCAGGCCCUGUUAGGAUCAGCCUGUUCCUGCUACACCCUCCUGGGGGCUGCUGGGUCCAGGUUCUGGAGUCCCAACCCCCACAUGAGGUCAGUCCCAGAGGCAGAGACACCCACCCAGCCACCGGACAGCCUUAGGGGUGUGGCUCCUUCUGGAGCACACCUGUGCCGUUCCAGGAAAAAAAAUCAAUGGCUUUCAAAUUAAAUCCUUCAGUUGUCUUAGGAAAAGCAUAAUGGGGUUGCACUGUACAUACUUUGGUAUGAAAUGUGUUGAUUUUUAAAUCAGUUUGGUGGUUUUUUUUCUGACUCUUUUCAAAUAAUAUCCGGGGACCCUCCUCCUCCCCUUUUCCCCUCCCUCUCUUAUCCCCUCUCCCAGGUCCCAUGCUGUGUAGGAAGCCCAGGUAGGAGAGGUGGGAGCCCUUCCAGGGAACCUUCGGGUCUGCUGUUUCUGGUGCACUUCCAGACAUUUCUCUCAGUGGCCAGUAGGUGGCAGUUCUGAGCCUUCCUCUUGGCCGCCCUCCUACCCACUAGCUUCCCUUGCUUCUCAAUCCAUACGCAGCAGGGUCCAGGGUGCCUACUGGGAGCUCUGUGCAUCCAGGCCCUGGGGUGUGCCUGGAGACCAGAGGGGGCCAUCCAGCUGCCCCUGUGUGGGGCUGCCUGGCCAUUCCUCCAGUCCCUGAGCCAGGGGAGCUUGCUGGGGGAGUUGACUUUGUGAGACCUGAAGAACGAUAAAUUUUAGGCAGAAGGAACAAAUUACACCAAGAUCCAGAGAGCCCAGCCCUGGGGGUGUCUGGGGCCUCCACAGGAUGCUGGAUCCCUGGGGACCGGGCAGCAGGACCAAGACAGCUGGAGUGUGGAGUGCAGAGUCUAGGCUUUAUCUUGAGGCCAGCAGAGAACCCCUAGCCUCUCCAGACUGUUCAAAUCACCCUGUGGAGAGAUCACUGUGGCUGCAGCCCGGUGGCUGCUUAUCACCCCCCAGUCCCUAUCCCUCAUAUCUGGGCUCCCACUGGGCCGGGCCCAGGUGGGAUCCCAGGGACUAGGCGACAGCAGACCUACCUUGCUGUCUCCAGCGACCUCAGCCAUCCUCGCGGUUGGCCGGGGUCAGGGGCUGAGUGCCCCAGAGGCUCCUGGAGCACUAAGCCAGGGCGAUCUGGAAGGAGCAGUUUCCCCCAUGGGGGGGGCAGCUUCCCUCCUUCCGUCAAGGAGCCUGCACCCCUCCCAGGCAAGGGAGGGGCACAGGACAGGAGCUGAGGAAGCCGUCUGCAGCCGUUGUGGUUUGGGAUCUGGGUGCUGUGUUUGGAAGAGGCGGUGGCAGGGCUGUGUGUGUGCGUCUGGGUGAUUGCAGGGCAGAUUUUGCCAUCCAGGAAAGGAGACCCUGCCUACGGCACUGUCCUGUAUGUUGGUCCUGGGACCAAGCAAGAGAAGCCCUGCCAAGUGACACAUGGCAUCCUGCAACAGCAGCGCCCGUGCAGCCCCCAGCGGUGAUUAAUUAAUGCUGCUCCCCAGGUGUCUCCCAGAGUCUGUGUGCACGUGGGGGGCGGGUGCCGAGGCUGCAGAGGCUCCCUUCAGAGGCCUGAUGAAUGACUAAUGGCUGUGGAGAUAUAAUGUCCACUAAGUCACAUCUGAUUCUGUAUUUAACGUUUAAAUAUUUAAUUAAUUAAAUGUGCCAAAUAUUUAAUUAAACACCAUCAAAGCCACCAUGACACUCCACUCUGCAUAAUUCAAAGGCAAGCCAGCUUUCUCUGCACGCUCCCCACCCUCAUCCUGACGGUGCUGUCAGUGCCCCUGCCUGGAGGAGUCUUGCCUGAGACCGGGGUGUGCCCUGUCCUGGGCUCUGUUGUCUGAUUAGACACCAGGCUGGCUGUGCUGUCCGUGGAGUUCCAUGCUUCCCCCCAGUGAGUUCUCCCCUCUCGUCCUCUCCCUCCCAGGUGGACAAAGGUAAGACUGACUGUAGGGGCCUGCACUGUGGUACAGCAGGUGAAGCCACCACUUCCCAUGCCGAAAGUGCUGUAUGAAUGCCGGUUCAAGUCCUGGCUGCUCCACUUUUGAUCCAGUGCCCUGCUAAAUGCACCUGGGAAAGCAGUGCAAGGUGGCCCUGCACCUGCGUGGGAGACUCGGAUGGAGUUCCAGUCUCCUGGCUUUGGCUUGGCCAACUUCUGGCUGUAUGGCCACUGGCGGAAUGAACAAAUAGAUGGAAAAUUGAUCUCUCUCUCCCUCUGCAACUCUGCCUUUCAAAUAAAUUUAAAAAAAAAAAAAAAGUGUUCCCCUGGAGGCCACCUCUGCACCAACCUUCCUGCCUGUGACAACAGAUUCUGGCCUUGGCCACGUGGGCAGACGUGAUGCACUCUGGGCCAAUCAAGUUCCUUCCCCAGGACUUUUUACAAGUGCAAUCAGAGAGGCGAGGCUCGCGGCUACGUUCCCUGCCACUCAGAGAAAUCUGACAUGCAAGGAGAACAAAGUCCAGGACAGUCCCACAGUCUUUAUUCAUUCAUUCAUUUAUGUGUUUAUUUAUUUAGAGAUUCCCAUUUUCAUGUAUUUGAAAGACAGAGAUACAGAGACAGAACUCUUCGAUCUGCUGGUUCAUUCCCCAAAUGCCUGAAACAGCUAGGGUUGGGCCAGGUUGAAACCGGAAGCCUGGAAUGAACUCUGGGUGUCCCGUGUUUGCGGCAGGGGCCAAGUACUUGGACCAUCAUCUGCUGCCUCCCAGGCUGUGCAUUAGCAGGAAGCUCCAUUCAAAAGCAGAGGCGGGACUUGCGCCGAGGCAGAUGUCCCUGGUGGCAUCUUAAGCGCUGUGCCAAGGCCCACCCCAACCCUGUGGUGUUCUGAUCUUUGCACCUGGCUCUUCCAAAGGCAGGGCUACCCUGUGACACGCUGGGUGAGUUAAUAAGCGCCCUGGGUGUUUGUGCCAGUUGGAAUCAGUUUCCUGUCAGUUGUAAACAAGUGAGGCUGAUCAGGACACACAGCCCCAUUACAGUCACGUGGCCUAUAUGCAAAAAAAAGUGGCGGUUAAUUAUUUAACUUGUCAGUGACACCUGUCAGCAGCUCACCCUCAAGGACCUGCCAGCGAAGUCUGUUAAAGUUUCCCCAAAUACGUCCCGUGCUCUGAGGGACACAGGGGCCACCCAAGCCUGCCAGGACGAACCCUCUGACACCUGACUUCUGCUCUUGGUGUGAGCCUGCUUCUGGGAUGUCACCACCUGCCUUCCUCUCCUCCCCUCCACACUCCAUCCCCCCCAUCCCCCAUCUCUGUCUCUAGCUCUCUGCUGUGUUGGUCUCAUUCCCUGGCAGACCUUCUUUCUUACAGCAACCCUAGCAGCUCCAGGCUUCCGUUACCCUUGCAGGAGAAAUCUCCGUGACAGAGAGACACAUUCUUCCCUGUGGAAGCCCAGAAGCGCUGGGAUUUGCUCUGAUGGGAGCCCUUGGGUUCUGUGCCCGAGCCUGAGCCGGGGACUGUGGCCACUGUUGGAAUCCCCCAGGCAGAGGGACGGGGUGGGAGGUGAGGUGGGGAGCUUCCCGAGCAAGGUCAGGGUGCUGUGCUCACCACAGGAAGAGUGAGUGGCUGUGAGUGGAAAGGGGAGCAGGUGGCCACAGGACUCACCGCGCGGGGCCCUUCCCUACCUGGCAGUGCGGUGUCCGGGUGUGGAAGCAGAGGGAGGCUGGCACAGGAAGGGAGGGGGCAGGAGCAAAUCUGUCCCCGAGUUUGCAGAAGCAGAAGCGUUGGGUUCAUCCUGAGUUACUCGUUUCU